AAUAGUUGUCAUAUGAGAAUGUUGCAGUGCUCUUUCGUACCUGCUAGUGGACUACCGGGAGAAUUGUUUGUGUUACAUCAAUCGACGAUCUUUGACAUCAGGGGCAUCCGUUGGUGCGAGAGGAGUGUUUUUCCCACCUGCAUAAUUCUGAGGGCAAGAGUAUCUGUGAGGGGGCAACCGUGGAUGUAAGAAGCGAGGUGCUGGGUUGUGUUGGAUUUUUUGUGUAAAUUCCUGGCCUUUUCAUGCUGCUUUUCACAGAUUUUCUAGCCUUUGUUGUACCAUGAACGAUUGACCAAAUGUGUUUUUUUUUGUUACACUGUCCCGUGAUGGGAGCAUUGGUGUUUAACUUCAGAACUCUGAAUCAGUUUCAGCCCUUAUUCUCAAAACUCUAUGUUGCGGUUUUGUUCUAAAGGUGACCAGAACGUUAUACAGCCCGGGAACUUGCUAAAAGUAAUCUGUGAAUCUCUGCAAAACUUCCAAGUUUCUUAUUCGGCUUCUCUUCAAGGCCGAUGCUAUUGUAGACUCCGUUUCAUCUUUGAUAGCUGCUACAGUUCAACCCUUUUUUUUUCUCUCUUCAGAGGUUUAAUUUCUAGUGCCAUCAGCUGGAGUGGAAGUACAGUGGAGGUGCAGUUUCAUGAGAGAGCUGAAAAUAGAAUGAUCCCCAGAUACUCUCUAAGCUCGGAGAAGCCGUCUCGUUUCUUUCCAUUCGUGUACAUAGUUGAGCUUAGCUUUCCAGGCUUCCUUAUAUUGAGGAAAGUUUUAUUAACAUGAUUGCAUAAUGUUUUGUGGCCAUAAGCAACAUUGUCCAAUGCUGUAUCAUUGAUGUAUAAUGGCAAAUGAAGUUUAAGUUAUCAAUCACUUGAGGAACAGGCAUCGUGUAGUUACUUUAGAGAGAAAUAAUAACAUAAUUAGAAUGCAACAGUUAAUUGAAGAAGAGAUGUUAAUGCUAGAUUAACAUCUCUAAUUGUAUCCGCAUAUAAGAGUACUUGUUUGACAAUCCUUGUUCCCUCCCUUCUGAAAACCCAAGAAAGAAAGAAAG